AUGCAGAUGAACUGGAAAAGAAAGGAGGUUUUCAUUUCUGUGACUGGUUACAGGGAGAAGGCCUGGAAAUUAUCACCUGACCAACUCAAAAUUACAAAGUUUUUCAGAGCUUGUGUAUCUUCUAAGCUACGUGUCUACAUAAAUUCAGUCUCAGGAGGUAAUGGCUUUGCAAAGGUGCUGGGAAGUGGUAGUAUUCUAGAUAUAUUCCGAACAUAGAGACCACAGGAUUUCCUGACAAUUGGAUGUAAGUUUAUGAAAAAAAGGCAUCAAGAAUGACCCUAAGGAUUUUGGCCUAAGCAACUGGAAAGAUAGGGUCACCAUCCUGUGAGAGAGGAUAAAGAUGAAGCAUUUUUGGGGGGCAAACCUUCCUCAAAUCUUCUAAAUUUGUUGUGCCUUCUUGUUCUUAUCAGGACCAUAUAUGCUUUAACAUCCAAGUGGUUAUAGAAUGCUAUAACCAUUCUCCUUCUCUGGGAAGUGGCUGGGGU
rnacentral:lncRNA from 1 species